CAGGGGGGGGCUCGGCGGCCGCGGCGCUGCUCGGCCCCGCUCCCCGGCCGCGCCGCCGCCGCCCCCCGCUCGCUGAGGGCCGCGGGCCGUUAAGCGGAGACCGAGCCGGGGGGACCGGACCCGCUGCCUGAGGCUCCCCCCGGCUCCUUCCCGCCCUGCCCGGUCACCUUCCCGCGACCCCAGCGCGGGGGGAGGUGUGGGGUGCUUAAAAAACACGUGGGAGCCUGCUUGGGAGCAACGCCAGGCGCCGGCUAGCCCGGCUGCUCUGCCCGCACGGCUCCAUCCCCCAGAGAGCAUUCUAAUACUUCGGGUCCAGAUGGCCUUCUAACGUGCGGGGGUGUGGCAGGGUGGAAGGACAGAGAGAGGGACCGAGAGGAAUGAGCGAGGAAGAAGUUAUGCUUGCAACUGAGAUAAGUGGUGAGAUAGGAACUCCAGAAGCUCCUACACUUAUUUUUUAUAGCGCGUACCACAUACUUGUGCAUAUGUACACUCCACCUCCCACUCACGAUCAUGCAGAGUAUUGCAUAAUAUUACCAUCUGAAUUUACAGAAUUAACUGAAUUGUUUUCAAAGGAAAAAUUGAAUGUUAUUUUCCCUCGUUUACAGUCCGACUAUAGAUCUUUUGUCUUUUAACGUAUGUUAACUGCAGAAUAUGAGAGCAGCCAAACAGCCUGUGACAAGUCUGUUCUGCACAGUACUCCGGUUGGACCAGAGCUUGUUGAAGCUUAAAAACACGGGAAAACAUGUUACUUAGUGUGGAACAGUAAUGCUGUGACAGAUUUUACAUGGCAACCUCUUAAGUACUCCUUUUGUCUAUAUUUUUUAAAGAAUCUGUUGUUAACGCAUCAGGACUCAAUAUAAUAUUAAAUAUUCUAUGAUUUUUUUAUGGAUGAAAAAUAAUCAGAGUUAUAGAAAUAAAAUACUCUUUUAUAUAAGAUCCCACCUAACCCCCAGAGAACAACUGUGCAAAGCACAAUUCUAUCUACGAAAGAUAACAAAAAAAAAAAAUCUAUCAAAUAGGUGUUUCAGCAUCUGAGUAGUGUUGGGAAGACGGUUACACCGUAAGUAAAAUCAUUUUAAUAACUGCAAUGAGCAAUUUCACUAGCUCAUUUCCCUUCUUUAUGUGAGAACUUAGUUUUGAUUUCAACAGAGGGUUUUCUUGGUUUUUUUUCCAGUGUUUUUUUUUUAAUAUGACAAACUUAUGCAACUUCUUUUAUUUUGACCUCAGUUUUGAAGCUCUUUAUACUCUUAGAUUUGCACUGAAAUUGGCUUAUUAUAAUCACAUUAGGUUCCAGUCUUGCAAAGAUUUGCAUACAUGCUUAACGUCAACCGUGUGAAUAGCCCUAUUAAAUUCGGUAGGAUGACUCGUGCACAACAUGAAGUAUGUACAGACAUUUCUAAAGAUUGGGGGCCAUAUGUUAGAACAUCAAAACAAGUUAUCCAUCAUUUAAUUUUAAAAUAGAGCUGUGGAACUAAUGUGUUAUUUGAAAAAAACAUCCUGGACUUAUCUCAAAUCCCAGAGGCACAACUUAAUUUAAUUUCUUUGCUCUCCUACUUUCUAAAGGGUACGGGUGCAAAACCAGCGAUGUCGCUUGAAAUAAAAAGAGCAGCUGAGACAGUUCAAGCAGAGCUGGGCACCUUCAGUUGUAAUUUUCUUCAUAUUUAUUCAAUUAUAUAAACACACUUAAAAGGGGAGAAAACUAUCAUUUGGAAUUGAAAACUGAAAAGUGACCUUUUUUUUUUUUUGUUGAUUCAUUAAGCCUCAAGACGAGUAUGCUUUUAUAUCUGUGCCUCAGUUUGUUCUGGGGCUGUUUUCUUCAGAAACACUGAAAUUAAUGCAAUUGCUAAAAAGGACCUGCGCACCUUAAAGGUCAAAAGCCUGGUAUCUCAAAGUGAUUAGCCUUAGCUGCAGUAUAUUGCAGCUGGAUUUGCAAGUGCUCAGCUGUACUUCCUAAGACCCUGCUUUUGUGUAGAAUAUUUAUAACCCUGUUCAGUCCCAGUAACUUCAGAGGGGUGACACAAGCACCCAGCGCUGUCACCCCAGUGGUAAUUAAUGGUGUGUUUUUUUUAAUCUUAACAGGCAAAUCAGUUUUAAAAACCCUUUUCAGGUAAAGUUUCUGAGGAAAGAUCUGACAUUAUGGUUAAUAGGAGGAAGAUUAUAAUUUUUGUAACCAAAUGUGGCUAAAGGGAGUCAGCUGUCUCUCAUUCAACUGAAAAUUAAUAGGGGUUUAAAGAUAAAUACUAACCUUUCAGUAUUAUUUAAUAGAGCACAGCCCAACAAAAAAGGAGUUAUCAAUCAGCCAAAGUGCUGACUGCAUCAAUUGUGAAGCAGCAUUGGCUGAACAUGGUAUUUAAAGCUGUAUAAACCCAUGUGAUCAGAAAAUGACCUCGUAGAGAGAAAUCAGGCAAAACAUCCCAUAUAUCACAAUUGCUUGGAAUCACUGACAUUUUCACAGUGGAGUGAUGCUGAUGGCCUUGAACAUAACUGCAAUUAGUGAAGUAAGUGUCCAUCCGUUCUGGGGAAAAAAUGAAUUAGUACAAGCUAUUUUGGGUUUCCUUUCAUGUCUUGUUUCUCUUAGUUGGGGAAAAAAAAAGACAAUCAUAUUACCAGCUAGCGCUCCACUGACCCAUGAUACAGGCAACUGCAGAGGAUUAGGAACACUUUGCCUGGUUACGUAGGCAAGUGAGACAUGGAAAUAAGAAAACAUCACCAUCCUUCUUGCAGUAUUGCAGAGUUCUCAGAUGUGUUUAUAAUUUCCUGUGUUUUUUUUUCUAACCCAUUAUCACACACUUAAAAACUGAAAAUGAUUCGUCUGUUUAGUCUUACUUAGAAUGUGAAAAGAUUAAAUACGAAAACAGAUUCUCUUUCUUUUUCCUCUGGGAUAAAAAUAAGUGUAUGGUUUUCUAAGAAGCUGCAGAUGCUUCCAAAGCUCUGCACUGAAAGGUUUCUAGGUAGUGUCCAAAAUGUGGUGAAUAUCGUGUCCUUGUUAAAAAAAAACAAACAAAAACCUGAUAACUUUGUGGUGUCUCUUAAGAAAAAAAGAAGGAAAAAAAGUUUCAUCCAGUUUUUCUUGCUCACUCUCAACAGUAAGUACCUAAUAAAUAAGAUCUGUCCCAUAAAGUUGCAACUCACAGACCUAAUUUGCUGUCAAAAACUUGCUCAGAAAGAUUGUUUAUGAUGAAGGUUUCACUCUCCAAGUAACAGUAAAAAUAAUGCUUCCUAAACUCAGAAAUAAAUGCAGAAUGAACGCAAGUAUUUCAUGAUGGACAUCUGUACAUUAUGUGAGGUAGGCACAAAUGAAUUGUAUCAACGUAAUUUUUUAUUGUACAUCCUUAAUAUAAAUAGCAAGCAUAUUUCUGACUGGCCUAAUUUACAGAAUUUUGGAUGUUCAGUUAAUAGCCGAGUGAUUCUUACCACUCAACUUUGUAUUUUAAAGUAUGUAAAGUACACAAGAGGAAAAACUAACAAAAGGAAUGUACAUCAAUUAUGUGUCAGUGUGGGUCAUCUAAUAGAUGCACCUGCGCCCCAGCAGAACAUCAUUUCUUCUUUGACUAAUAGUGUCUGUCAGGGUCACACACCCCAUGUCUCUUGUGCUGAUUUUAAAGUAUUUUAUACCUUGGCCUGAGUCGGUGUCUCUGUCAAGUAAGUGUUUUUCAAGCUCCUUACAUGACAAGUGAAUAUGAAUUAUUUUUUUUCAAGUAGCUCAUUUUUCUUCAGUGAAAAAUGUCUUUAAGUGCCAUAUGUACGUGGGGCAGUUGGUCUCUGUAACUGAAUGCCGUCUUUCCACUAUC